UUUGAAACGAGGAUCAAUCCCAAUUCGUUUUAUACAAAAGUUCAAUCGUGAUGUUUUUGAUGAUUUGCAGAACAAUCUUAAAGAACGCAAUGGCUUUAUUGCAUUUGGUGAUGACAGUGAAACUGUUGAAAUUCGCGGGAAAAGGAAAGAUCGAGAAAUAGUCCGUGAUGAAUUGGAACAAAUAUUCAACUCAGUCAUACGAGAGGAGCACACCAUUAAAAAUAUAUCAGUGACGUAUGUUUUCCAAGAUGAAAAAGCACGUGGAAAAAUCGAUGAAAUAGAGUCGAGUACUAGAUGUUUGAUACGGCUACAAGGCGAGCAUUGGGCAUUCCAGUAUGUAGCUAAAGAUGACGCAAAUAUCGGAGAUCAAGUUCCCGGG